UAACAAGGGUAAUGCUAGCUGUACAAGAAUAUCCUACACAAUGAUAUGGCAAAUCUUGCUUUUUGAAAAAUAUCAGUACUGCUACACCAUUCUGGUCAAGAAUCAAAGUAUAUAGAAAUUCUGUAAGGGAGAGUAGCCGAUUGACGAAAUGAACAUGCCAUAUUGCGGGGGAGAGUACCAGUGCCAAUGUCCCCCCCUCAUCAUUAAUUGAAUGCCCAUUAACUUUAGAACCAGAAGGCUACAGGCAAAUCAAGAAGAAUCUAGGUCCGGUUAUUCGCCAACGCCUGAGGGAAUUGCCGAAGAAAGCAGUUACUGUUGAAUCUGCAAUCAAGGCCGCUCACACCAUCGAUCUUCUGAAGCUUCUCAAUGAAUCAAGGACCGAGCUGAACACUGUUCGCGAAAAUAUGCAGAAAGGAGCUCAGCAGCUGACAGAUGCCUUCCUCAAAAUUCCAGAGCUAGCUCAUGUAACAAAUUGGGGAAAAACCGCAUCUUUUUUUUUCGAGUAAAGAGAGAGGCUGCUAUGUUAUAGUUUGCCAUGUAAUAAUUGAGUUAAUGGAUAAAUUGUCAGUUUUAACUUA